AUUGAACGCUGGCGGCAGGCCUAACACAUGCAAGUCGAACGAGUGGCGGACGGGUGAGUAAUGUCUGGGAAACUGCCUGAUGGAGGGGGAUAACUACUGGAAACGGUAGCUAAUACCGCAUACCAUCGGAUGUGCCCAGAUGGGCUUAGCUAGUAGGUGGGGAAAAGGCUCACCUAGGCGACGAUCCCUAGCUGGUCUGAGAGGAUGACCUGCCACACUGGAACGAGGACACGGUCCAGACUCCGACGGGGGGCAGCAGUGGGGAAUAUUGCACAUUGGGCGCAAGCCUGAUGCAGCAAUGCCGCGUGUAUGAAGAAGGCCUUCGGGUUGUAAAGUACUUUCAGCGGGGAGGCGUUACCCGCAGAAGAAGAACCGGCUAACUCCGUGCCAGCAGCCGCGGUAAUU
rnacentral:rRNA from 1 species